GCCUCAUGGAAAAUGCCUACUGGGGAAGUGCACCUGUGGCUUUGCAGGUCUGAGCCCCCAUGGCUGCUCUCAUAGACUGGACUAGUGUUGAGUGCCUGUAGCUUUUCCACACGGAGGGUGCAAGCUGUUGGUGGGUCUAUGUAUCUGAGGUCUGGAGGGUGGUAGCAUGGGGGCUCCAAGUCCAUAUUUUCCUUCUGCACUGCCCUAGUAGAGGUUUCCCAAGAACUCUUCGUCUGCAGGAGGCUACUGCGUGGAAACAGUAGGAGGUGGGUGUGGGAGGCAGAUCCUUCACCAAUGGUUAGGCAACGUCUUCUUGAUGCUGUCCUCAUGAUAGUGUGUUCUCAUGAGAUCUGGUUAUAUAACAGGGGGUGGCAACUCUUUCCUCUCGCAGUCUUGCUUCUACUCCUGCCAUUUGAAAUAUCUCAUUGCCCCUUGGCCUUCUGGUAUGAUUGGGAGGCUUCCUGAUCUGAUCCUCCCAGAAGCAGAAGCCACUAUGCUUCCUUUACAGCCUGCUGUAUAGUGAGCCAAUUAAACCUCUUUUCUUUAUGAUCAUACAGAAAAUCAGUGCUAUGAAGUGGAGCCAUGAAAUGCCUUCAAGGCCCUUUCCCCUUUGUCUUGGCAACCAGCACUCAGCUUCUUUUCAUGCAAAUAUCUGAAGCCUUCGUGAAUUUUCCCCCGAAAAUGGACUUUUCUGUUUUACCACAUUGCCAGGCUCUGAUAAAGAUAGCUGACAAUGUAGAACCAGGUUCAGAAGUGAGUAAAAGACAGAGGUCAGAAGAAUUGGGAAAGCUUAGAAGACAGCAAGAUGAGGAAAAUAUUGGACCACUAUAGAGAAUUGUUAAAUACUUGUGAUUAGAAGGCUGACAAAAGUUUAAACACUGAAGUCCAGACUUAAAAGGUCUCAGAUGAAAAUGAGGAAUUUCCUAUUAAUAGAAGCCAAGAUUACAUUUGAUUGGCCUUAGCAAAGAAGCUGGCUGCACGGGGACCCUGCCCUGGAGAUCUGUGAAACUAGGAACUUGGGGGUGAUGAUUUAGGAUGUAUUUGGUGAAAUGAACAUCUAGGCAGCAUAACACAAGAGGUGACCUGUCCGCAUUGAACAGCCUGUGUUCUUAAGGGUGACCUAAGAAAUGACUUCAAGUUGGAACUUCAAGUGGAGAUCUAAAGUUUGGAAAAUUUGGAGCCUGGCCAAGUAGUCAAAAAGAAAAGCCGAUUUUGAGGGGGAAAAUUCAAGAAGGCUUAGGGUAUUUGCAUAAAAAGGAACCCAGUGCAAAUAGUCAAGACAGUUUGAAACCGGCCUUGAAGGUAUUUUAGAGAAGUCUGCAGCAGCCCUUGCUGUCACAGGCCCCGGGGCCUAGGAGAGAAGAAUGGUUUCCUACGCCAGUCCCAUGGCCCUGCUGCUGUGUUCAACCGCAGGACACUGCUGCCUGCAUCUGUGCAGCUCCAGCACCAGCCAUGGCUGAAAGACAUACAGGUACAGCUCGGGUCAUUGCUUCAGAGGUGGCUCAAAGUCUUAAAGGUUUCCAUAUAGUGUUAAGCCAGUAGGUGCACAGAGAAAGAGACUAGAGGCUUGGGAGCUCCCGUCUAGACUCCAGAAGAUGUACAGAAAAUCCUGGAUGUUCAGGAAGAAGCUUUUCCAAGAGGCAGAGCCUUAUGGGGAACCUCUACUAGGGGAGCAAAGAAGGGACAUAUAAGGUUGAAGCCCCCACACAGGG
rnacentral:lncRNA from 1 species